rnacentral:rRNA from 1 species
UUGCAGUUAAAAAGCUCGUAGUUGGAUUUCUGGUCGAGUGUCCCUAGGCCGACUUGACGUUUGGUCCUAGGGGCUCUGCCAUCCUUCUGUUAACUCUCGCCUCGUUCGUUCGUGGCGUUAGGGCUCAGAUAUUUUACCUUGAGAAAAUUAGAGUGUUUCAGGCAGGCUUUCGCCGGAAUACAUUAGCAUGGAAUAAUGGAAAAGGACUUCAACCUCUUCUGUUGGUCUGAGAGGAUGUAGUAAUGAUUAAUAGGGAUAGUUGGGGGCAUUAGUACUUAACUGUCAGAGGUGAAAUUCUCCGAUUUGUUAAAGACUAACUUAUGCGAAAGCAUUUGCCAAGGAUGUUUUCAUUAAUCAAGAACGAAAGUUAGGGGAUCCAAAGACGAUCAGAUACCCGUCCUAGUCUUAACCAUANACUAUGCCGACUCGGGAUCGGGGG